rfam:Stegodyphus mimosarum contig107515, whole genome shotgun sequence.
UGUUUUUAAUGAAAGGCUAUACGUAAACUACUAUGGCUGUAUAGUUUCGAUGUUUCAAACA